rnacentral:rRNA from 1 species
UACAGAGGUCUCAAGCGUUGUUCGGAUUCAUUGGGCGUAAAGGGUGCGUAGGUGGCGCUGUAAGUCGGGUGUGAAAUUUCGGAGCUUAACUCCGAAACUGCAUUCGAUACUGCGGUGCUUGAGGACUGGAGAGGAGACUGGAAUUUACGGUGUAGCAGUGAAAUGCGUAGAUAUCGUAAGGAAGGCCGGUGGCGAAAGCGAGCCUCUGGACAGUUACUGACGCUGAUGC